CAGCAGCCACGGUAAUACCGAGGGUGCAAGCGUUAAUCGGAAUUACUGGGCGUAAAGCGCGCGUAGGUGGUUUGUUAAGUUGGAUGUGAAAGCCCCGGGCUCAACCUGGGAACUGCAUCCAAAACUGGCAAGCUAGAGUACGGUAGAGGGUGGUGGAAUUUCCUGUGUAGCGGUGAAAUGCGUAGAUAUAGGAAGGAACACCAGUGGCGAAGGCGACCACCUGGACUGAUACUGACACUGAGGUGCGAAAGCGUGGGGAGCAAACAGGAUUAGAUACCCCUGUAGUCCCUGUCUCUUAUAC
rnacentral:rRNA from 1 species